rnacentral:rRNA from 1 species
UACGGGGGGGGGCAAGCGUUGUUCGGAAUUACUGGGCGUAAAGGGCUCGUAGGCGGCCAACUAAGUCGGAUGUGAAAUCCCCAGGCUUAACCUGGGAACUGCAUCCGAUACUGGAUGGCUUGAAUCCGGGAGAGGGAUGCAGAAUUCCAGGUGUAGCGGUGAAAUGCGUAGAUAUCUGGAGGAACACCGGUGGCGAAGGCGGCAUCCUGGACCGGUAUUGACGCUGAGGCGCGAAAGCUAGGGGAGCAAACGGG